ACUCCUCCUCACCCUUUUUUGCUAAGAUCAAUUGUAGUAUGUGUUCUUAUCAGACUAAUAUCUAACAUAUUCUAAGUACUCUAUAAUAUGUAGAUUUUUGGAGCUUAGACAAUUCCUCUGACCAUUUCCCACCUAGAUCUAGUAUUGCAGUACGUCCAGGAAAUCCCAA
ensembl:snRNA U2 U2 spliceosomal RNA